rnacentral:rRNA from 1 species
AUACGGAGGGUGCAAGCGUUAAUCGGAAUUACUGGGCGUAAAGCGCGCGUAGGCGGAUAUUUAAGUCUCAUGUGAAAGCCCUGGGCUCAACCUGGGAACUGCAUGGGAUACUGGGUAUCUAGAAUACAGUAGAGGGUAGUGGAAUUUCAGGUGUAGCGGUGAAAUGCGUAGAGAUCUGAAGGAACAUCAGUGGCGAAGGCGACUACCUGGACUGAUAUUGACGCUGAGGUGCGAAAGCGUGGGGAGCAAACGGGAUUAGAUACCCCGGUAGUCC